rnacentral:rRNA from 1 species
UACGGGGGGGGCAAGCGUUGUUCGGAAUUACUGGGCGUAAAGGGCUCGUAGGCGGCCAACUAAGUCAGACGUGAAAUCCCUCGGCUUAACCGGGGAACUGCGUCUGAUACUGGAUGGCUUGAGUCCGGGAGAGGGAUGCGGAAUUCCAGGUGUAGCGGUGAAAUGCGUAGAUAUCUGGAGGAACACCGGUGGCGAAGGCGGCAUCCUGGACCGGCACUGACGCUGAGGAGCGAAAGCCAGGGGAGCAAACGGG